GCGGGAGUAGCUCAGUUGGUAGAGCGCAACCUUGCCAAGGUUGAGGUCGCGAGUUCGAGUCUCGUCUCCCGCUCCA
rnacentral:tRNA from 1 species